CACGUAAUGCACAUACUUGAUAUUAUUCAACGUGCGAUAUGCGCGCUCAGAAGUCACAACAGAUGACGAAACCGGGUCACCGCCGUUACCGGCGGGUGGUGGUGAGGCCACGUGAUUGAACCAUACAUAAAUACAAUCGUAAUUUCACUCGCGUAAUUGCAUAUUAAAGCGCACAAUAAAAUUAACUGAAUUGAACCGCAAUCUCGCCCGCGUCGUGCCCGAAAUUCCUGUCAGAUGCGGCCGAUCGAUAUGUGCAACGCGGAAACCUGUUUGCUGCAGACAAUUCCCCAGGUUUGCGCUAUUAAUUCCGUCGACCGAAAUAAAGUGAGCUGACUGACGUCGAUCGUCAAUUACACGCUUCAAAGAAAAAUCUGGAAAAGUAUUCGUUUAUUACUUUGCUGCGUGCAAAGAUCUGCCUGAGCAACGGUGAAACCGUAACGGAAAUACGUGCACAUUCUCAUCUCGGCGAGAAGACACUCGGCUUCUGAAGAGACAGGCUCUACGAAGUGGAGACAUUGUGGAGUGCGAAGGUUUAAUUAAGAAACCGCGGAUGUGUUCUCCACGCUCGGCAAGGGAAUGUGACGAGUGGAUUUGUGUCAUUCACCCGGAUUUACGUUCAUGUCUGGUGGAAGUAAAUCAGAAUAAUAACACGAGUAAUAAUCGGAGUAUUAUCGCAUUUUUGACAUGCUAUUGCAUUUUUAUUCACUUUUUUCUAAUAUAUAUAUAUUCAUAACUAUCAUUUUUUUUAAUAUUUAUAGCAUUACAUAAUCUAAAUUAAAUAUAAUAUAAACAUCAAUAUAUGCAUCUAAUAUACUAAAUUGAUUUUAAUAUUUAUAUAAUUUUCUUUAUUUUAUCAAUGGCAUCAAUUAAACAUAUUUAUUUCUACAUUUCUAAAAUUUUUCUAGAUCGAAAAAAGUUUAGUAGAUAAUAGUCAACUUUUUUUGAGAUAGAGAAAUCAGUAAGUAACUACAAAAGAUGUAAUUUACGAAUGAAACCAAUUGGUUAUGGAGGACAAGUUGUGAUUAGGCAAGUUUCUACUUUCCUCAAUAAACAGGCAAGGUAUAAAGACGCUGAGAAGAAUUUUCGAUCGAAUUCUUCCAAAUGAAUAUUUACUGUCAUUUAGAUUGGACAAAAAUCCAAUCACGGCUCAUUGGGAAUAAAACCAUCGGCUGUCCGGAAAUGAACGGAAAAGAUAUAUCCGUCACUUUUCAAACGGAUAAUCCGUUUAUUUCCGGACAUCCCGAUGAUAGCAUUCCCAAUGAAUCGCAGCCGGAUUCUUAUCCAAUCUGAAUGGUCGUAAAUACUCGUUUGUCACUUUUUGAAAGUACAAUUCGACCGAGGUUCGAUUAAUAUAACCAAAUAUUCAGUAAUUACAUUAAUAGUAACCAACCGGUUACUAAAUAUUUGGUGGCGCAAAAUUUGCGGUUAUAUUAACCGCACGUUUCAUUAUUUCAUCAAAAUUCAGUAAUUAUCAUCUAGGUUUGACUAUUAUUACCAAACUCUUUUUUUUUCAAUGUACAUGUAACAAAUUAUUUAACAUGUAUCCCUUGUAGCUUCGAUGAAAACCCAGCGAUUAAAAAUGAUUUUUUCAAUCUGC